CCUCAUGCGUGCGGCUGCUUACCAUGCAGUCGAACGAUGAACCUCACUUGUGGGGGGAUUAGUGGCGAACGGGUGAGUAACACGUGAGUAACCUGCCCUUAACUCUGGGAUAAGCCUGGGAAACUGGGUCUAAUACCGGAUAUGACUCCUCAUCGCAUGGUGGGGGGUGGAAAGCUUUAUUGUGGUUUUGGAUGGACUCGCGGCCUAUCAGCUUGUUGGUGAGGUAAUGGCUCACCAAGGCGACGACGGGUAGCCGGCCUGAGAGGGUGACCGGCCACACUGGGACUGAGACACGGCCCAGACUCCUACGGGAGGCAGCAGUGGGGAAUAUUGCACAAUGGGCGGAAGCCUGAUGCAGCGACGCCGCGUGAGGGAUGACGGCCUUCGGGUUGUAAACCUCUUUCAGUAGGGAAGAAGCGUAAGUGACGGUACCUGCAGAAGAAGCGCCGGCUAACUACGUGCCAGCAGCCGCGGUAAUACGUAGGGCGCAAGCGUUAUCCGGAAUUAUUGGGCGUAAAGAGCUCGUAGGCGGUUUGUCGCGUCUGCCGUGAAAGUCCGGGGCUCACCUCCGGAUCUGCGGUGGGUACGGGCAGACUACAUUGACGUACGGGAGACUGGAUUUUCUGGUGUCUCCGGGA
rnacentral:rRNA from 1 species